AUUGAACGCUGGCGGCAUGCCUAACACAUGCAAGUCGAACGGUAACAGGACGCUAUGAUCCCUUCGGGGUGAAUUUGUCGCUGACGAGUGGCGGACGGGUGAGUAAUGCGUAGGAAUCUACCUUCAAGUGGGGGAUAGCCCGGAGAAAUCCGGAUUAAUACCGCAUGUUCUCUACGGAGAAAAGCGGGCCUCUGUUUCAAGCUCGCGCUUGGAGAUGAGCCUACGUCGGAUUAGCUAGUUGGUGGGGUAAUGGCCCACCAAGGCAACGAUCCGUAGCUGGUUUGAGAGGAUGAUCAGCCACACUGGGACUGAGACACGGCCCAG
rnacentral:rRNA from 1 species